AUUGAACGCUGGCGGAAUGCUUUACACAUGCAAGUCGAACGGCAGCACGGACUUCGGUCUGGUGGCGAGUGGCGAACGGGUGAGUAAUACAUCGGAACGUGCCCAGUCGUGGGGGAUAACGUAGCGAAAGCUACGCUAAUACCGCAUACGAACUAAGGAUUAAAGCGGGGGAUCGCAAGAACUCGCGCGAUUGGAGCGGCCGAUGGAAGAUUAGGUAGUUGGUAGGGUAAAGGCCUACCAAGCCGACGAUAUGUAGCUGGUCUGAGAGGAUGAUCAGCCACACUGGGACUGAGACACGGCCCAGACUCCUACGGGAGGCAGCAGUGGGGAAUUUUGGACAAUGGACGCAAGUCUGAUCCAGCCAUUCCGCGUGCAGGAUGAAGGCCCUCGGGUUGUAAACUGCUUUUGUACAGAACGAAAAGGCUCUGGUUAAUACCUGGGGCUCAUGACGGUACUGUAAGAAUAAGCACCGGCUAACUACGUGCCAGCCGCCGCAGUAA
rnacentral:rRNA from 1 species